rnacentral:rRNA from 1 species
AGCAGCCGCGGUAAUUCCAGCUCCAAUAGCGUAUAUUAAAGUUGUUGCAGUUAAAAAGCUCGUAGUUGAAUUUCGGAAUCGACGGAUUGGUCGCGCCUUCGGUGUGUACUGGUCUUGCCGGUUUCUCCCUUCUGACGAACCACGAUGUCAUUAAUUUGGUGUCGUGGGGAAUCAGGACUGUUACUUUGAAAAAAUUAGAGUGUUUAAAGCAGGCAUUAGCUUGAAUACAUUAGCAUGGAAUAAUGAAAUAGGACGUUUGAUCUUAUUUUGUUGGUUUCUAGGAUCGACGUAAUGAUUAAUAGGGAUAGUUGGGGGCAUUAGUAUUCAAUUGUCAGAGGUGAAAUUCUUGGAUUUAUUGAAGACUAACUACUGCGAAAGCAUUUGCCAAGGAUGUUUUCAUUAAUCAAGAACGAAAGUUAGGGGAUCGAAGACGAUCAGAUACCGUCGUAGUCUUAACCAUAAACUAUGCCGACUAGGGAUCGGAUGAUGUUAAUUUUUAAUGACUCAUUCGGCGCCUUAC